rnacentral:rRNA from 1 species
AUUGAACGCUGGCGGCAGGCCUAACACAUGCAAGUCGAGCGGUAGAGAGGUGCUUGCAUCUCUUGAGAGCGGCGGACGGGUGAGUAAUGCCUAGGAAUCUGCCUAGUGGUGGGGGAUAACGUUCGGAAACGGACGCUAAUACCGCAUACGUCCUACGGGAGAAAGCGGGGGAUCUUCGGACCUCGCGCCAUUAGAUGAGCCUAGGUCGGAUUAGCUAGUUGGUGAGGUAAUGGCUCACCAAGGCGACGAUCCGUAACUGGUCUGAGAGGAUGAUCAGUCACACUGGAACUGAGACACGGUCCAGACUCCUACGGGAGGCAGCAGUGGGGGAAUAAUUGGACAAAUGGGCGGAAAGACCUGAUCCAGCCAUAGCCGCGUGUGUGAAGAAGGUC